UACGUAGGGUGCAAGCGUUAAUCGGAAUUACUGGGCGUAAAGCGUGCGCAGGCGGUUUUGUAAGUCUGACGUGAAAUCCCCGGGCUCAACCUGGGAAUUGCGUUGGAGACUGGAAGGCUGGAGUCUGGCAGAGGGGGGUAGAAUUCCACGUGUAGCAGUGAAAUGCGUAGAGAUGUGGAGGAACACCGAUGGCGAAGGCAGCCCCCUGGGUCAAGACUGACGCUCAUGCACGAAAGCGUGGGGAGCAAACAGG
rnacentral:rRNA from 1 species